rnacentral:tRNA from 1 species
UAUGUUUAAGUAUUGUAUGUACGGGGAAUUUUGAUUUCUCAAGGGUAGUUUAAUUCUAUGAAAUAUAA